rnacentral:tRNA from 1 species
UAGCUCAUAAGAUUAGAGCACAUGGCUACGAAUCAUGGUGUGAGAGGUUCAAAUCCCUC